UCAGCCGCCGCGGUAAAACCAGCACCUCGAGUGGUCAGGAGGUUUAUUGGGCCUAAAGCAUCCGUAGCCGGUUGUUUAAGUUUUCGGUUAAAUCUAUGCGCUUAACGUAUAGGCUGCCGAAAAUACUGGACAGCUAGGGAGUGGGAGAGGUACACGGUACUCAAUAGGAAGGGGUAAAAUCCUUUGAUCUGCUGAUGACCACCUGCGGCGAAGGCGGUGUACCAGAACACGUUCGACGGUGAGGGAUGAAAGCUGGGGGAGCAAACCGGAUUAGGUACCCGGGUAGUCCCAGCUGUAAACGAUGCAGACUCGGUGAUGCAUUGGCUUGUGGCCAAUGCAGUGCCGCAGGGAAGCCGUUAAGUUUGCCGCCUGGGAAGUACGUACGCAAGUAUGAAACUUAAAGGAAUUGGCGGGGGAGCACA
rnacentral:rRNA from 1 species